CAGCCGUAAACUAUGCGCGUUAGGUGUAUCGGUGACCACGAGUCACCGAGGUGCCGAAGGGAAACCGUGAAACGUGCCGCCUGGGAAGUACGGUCGCAAGGCUGAAACUUAAAGGAAUUGGCGGGGGAGGCACCACAACAGGUGGAGCCUGCGGUUUAAUUGGACUCAACGCCGGGAAGCUCACCGGAUAGGACAGCAGAAUGAUUGCCGGGCUGAAGACCCUGCAUGACUAGCUGAGAGGAGGUGCAUGGCGUAGACGUCU
rnacentral:rRNA from 1 species